CACUCCACUGUCAACUGUCUGCAUCAGUUUGCAGAUCACUUUCUGAUCUGCUGGGUUGCUUUUACCCUCCUGGUGGGAGAGGUGCAAAUUAAAGCUAACAACAACCAGCUGCGCCCGCGCACUCAGUCUCAGCAACCACGAGUGAAGACCAACUUUAUUCUGGUGACAUUUACUUUCUUUUCACUGCUUAUUCUGAAAUGUGAAACCCUGGCUGUUUCAAAACUAUUUCGGGACACUGUGAAAAUCAAAAACGCCACCUUGAUUUGCUGUGAGGAGUUCAUGUCUCUCUAUAUAUCAAAGAUCAAAUUCACAGAUCUUUUUGAUGGCCAUGUACGUUUAUGCUGAGCGUGGCCAGCCCGUGUAUGUGGAACUGUUUGCAGUCAAACAUGAGAACAGGGACUUGGUUCUGCUGCUGGAGGACAGCUGGGCUACACUGACUGAGGACUCAGAUGGCCCACAAAGAUGGAAACUGCUGCUGGUGACAGCCACAAAACAGUUAUGCUGCAAGUUUCCAGUAGCCUACAGAACUAGGAUGAUCCUCCAUUUACAACUGGUGUAUUUCCACUGCAAUGUAGAGAUCUGUAAGGGGCCAGAGUGCCUGCAGCCUUGCAGUAGUUGGAAAUCGACUUUUAGACCGUUCAUCUUUUGUCUUAUAAAUCUAAAAAUAACACUGAUCUCACACGUUAACAUGUAACACUGUAAACAAAAGAUUGUUUUUCUUUGUUUUGGGGGAGUGCAUAAAUCAGGAAGACCUCCUGGAUCACUAUAUGACAAUCAAAUCAACCAAGGACUGUACAGUUUGUAAUGAAUAUUAAAUUGUACCUCCCAAAAGACGUUUUCCUUAUAAUAUUUAAUCACAUAUUUAAUUCUUCUCCAA
ensembl:lncRNA